UUUUUUUAAAAAACAUCGCUCCUUGAAACUAUCACAUAAGGAGUCGGACCUGCCCGGUGAGUUUUUAACGGCCGCGGUACUCUGACCGUGCAAAGGUAGCAUAAUAAUUUGCCUUAUAAUUGAAGGCUAGUAUGAAUGGUUUGACGAGAAUAAAGCUGUCUCUUUACAACUUAAUAGAAAUUUAUUUACAGAUGAAAAAGUCUGUAUAGUAUUAAAAGACAAGAAGACCCUAUCGAGCUUAAAAAAAAUUAGUAGGCUUUACACUAAUUAGAAACGAAAAAGUUAUCCUGCUAAGAAUUUUAGUUGGGGCGACUGAGGAACAAAUAAAGCUUCCUUACUUAAGCUUAAUACCUAUCGGUUAUGAUCCAGAACGAUUCUGAUUAAUAAAAUUAGUUACCGUAGGGAUAACAGCAUUAUCUUUUUUGAGAGCUCUUAUCGAAAAAAAGGUUUGUGACCUCGAUGUUGGACCAGAAUAUCCUGAAGAUGCAGCAGUCUUCAAGGGUUGGUCUGUUCGACCAUUAAUAUUCUACGUGAUCUGAUUCCA
rnacentral:rRNA from 1 species